CAUGUCGUACAUCCCUAAUUUCUGAACACAAUUAAAUGAUUUAAUGUGAUUGCAAUUUUCAGUUAUAAUUUAGCUAUCAUACUAAUUUUAUCAUAGUUUUCUGUUUAAUAAUGUUACAGAUGCUUUACACGUUUUUAUACGAGAACCCGUUUACAUUUGGAUACAUUUUAUAAGUUCACAUAACUUGUUGUAUUUUGUAUUAACUAGUAUAGAAUCUAACCUAAUAGGUGAAAAUGAGUGAAGGUCCACAGAAAAAGCGCAAAAACGAUGAAGAAAAUUCGACAGAAUUAUCAGAACCUCCAUCUAAAAACACAAAAAUGCAGAUUCAGUGUCCAUACUUGGAUACAAUUAACCGGCAUGUUUUGGAUUUUGAUUUUGAAAAGCUUUGCUCUGUCUCGCUGACAAGAAUUAAUGUUUAUGCUUGUCUUGUUUGUGGAAAGUAUUUUCAGGGUAGAGGUACGAACACUCAUGCAUACACACACUCAGUUGCAGAUGGGCAUCAUGUGUUCCUAAAUUUAAAUACUUUGAAAUUUUAUUGCUUGCCUGAUAAUUAUGAAGUCAUAGAUUCAUCACUUAAUGACAUAAAAUAUGUGCUCAAUCCCAUAUUUACAAUGGAGCAAAUAAAACAACUUGAUUAUAAUACUAAGAUGUCUCGAGCAAUUGACGGCUCUAUGUCCAUGCCUGGAAUUGUUGGUCUUAAUAAUAUUAAGGCCAAUGAUUAUUGUAAUGUUAUAUUACAGUGUCUAGCUCAAGUUCGGCCAUUAAGAAAUUACUUUCUACGUGAGGAGAACUAUGCUAAUGUCAAACGGCCACCAGGAGACUCCUCAUUUUUACUUGUGCAGCGAUUUGGAGAGUUAUUAAGAAAAUUAUGGAACCCCCGAGCAUUCAAAGCCCAUGUGUCACCUCAUGAAAUGUUGCAAGCUGUAGUAUUAUGGUCAAAGAAGCGGUUUCAGUUUAUUAAACAAAGUGAUCCAAUUGAUUUCAUGUCGUGGUUUUUGAAUUCAUUACACAUGGCGCUGAAUGGUACUAAGAAACCAGACAGUUCAAUUAUUUAUAAGUCAUUUUUGGGCCACAUGAGAAUUUAUACAAGAAAACUUCCACCACCAGAUGCAGAUGAUGCUGCUAAGGUAGAUUUAAACAGUGAAGAAUAUAAUGAGAUGAUAACAGAGUCUCCUUUCCUUUAUCUCACUUGUGACUUACCGCCAACGCCACUAUUCACUGAUGAAUUUAGGGAAAAUAUUAUACCACAGGUUAACCUUUACCAACUGUUAUCAAAAUUCAAUGGGCAAACAUCGAAAGAGUACAAAACAUAUAAAGAAAAUUUCCUGAAAAGAUUUGAGAUUACUCAGCUGCCACCUUACCUCAUACUUUAUAUUAAAAGGUUUACAAAAAAUACCUUUUUUGUGGAGAAAAAUCCUACUGUUGUUAAUUUUCCUGUCAAAAAUGUAGAUUUUGGUGAUAUCCUGACACCAGAAGUUAAAGCAAAAUACAAAGGGAAGACAACUUAUGAGCUGGUAGGUAAUAUACUUCACGAUGGUACACCAGAAAAGGGCACCUACCGAGCACAUGUAUUGCACAAACCAACACAACAGUGGUAUGAAAUGCAAGAUCUUCAUGUUACAAGUAUAUUACCACAAAUGAUAACCUUAACUGAAGCAUAUAUCCAAAUAUAUGAGUUAAAAGAUGACUAAAAUAAAAUGAUAUAAAAAGUAUGAAAUGCAAGAUCUUCAUGUUACAAGUAUAUUACCACAAAUGAUAACCUUAACUGAAGCAUAUAUCCAAAUAUAUGAGUUAAAAGAUGACUAAAAUAAAAUGAUAUAAAAAGUAUGAAAUGCAAGAUCUUCAUGUUACAAGUAUAUUACCACAAAUGAUAACCUUAACUGAAGCAUAUAUCCAAAUAUAUGAGUUAAAAGACGACUAAAAUAAA